AAGAAAAAAAAAAAAAAAGAACCAAGGAAACACAAUCCAUAUCCCAGCUCUAUUAUUUUCCCCAUAGGCAUACCUGGAUCGGGAGCAGCAACAUCGGACUGAACAUAAUCUAGUAGCACAGGAAUCUCCGGCAGUGGUGUCAUACUCAUAAACGCAACAACUAUGAUAUAACGACCAUUGAACUGGCCAACAGCUUGAAGAAGAUUUGUUCCAUAU
rnacentral:misc_RNA from 1 species